rnacentral:rRNA from 1 species
UUUUCUGCCACCGAAUACAUUAGCAUGGGAUAAUGGAAUAGGACCCUGUCCUCCUAUUUUCAGUUGGUUUGCCGCGAGGACCAGGGUAAUGAUUAAUAGGGAUAGUUGGGGGCAUUAAUAUUUAAUUGUCAGAGGUGAAAUUCUUGGAUUUAUGAAAGAUUAACUUCUGCGAAAGCAUCUGCCAAGGAUGUUUUCAUUAAUCAAGAACGAAAGUUAGGGGAUCGAAGACGAUCAGAUACCGUCGUAGUCUUAACCAUAAACGAUGCCGACCAGCGAUUAGGAGACGUUGAAUACAAAACACCACCAUGCGCAUUGCGGUCGUCUUUGGUGUCGCUCACAAGGCGGCACCGGGGCGGCUUAGCUCGCAUGGCACCGGUGAAUGACUCCC